rnacentral:rRNA from 1 species
AGCCAGACUCCUACGGGAGGCAGCAGUGGGGAAUAUUGGGCAAUGGGCGGAAGCCUGACCCAGCAACGCCGCGUGAAGGAAGAAGGCUUUCGGGUUGUAAACUUCUUUUCUCAGGGACGAAGCAAGUGACGGUACCUGAGGAAUAAGCCACGGCUAACUACGUGCCAGCAGCCGCGGUAAUACGUAGGUGGCAAGCGUUAUCCGGAUUUACUGGGUGUAAAGGGCGUGUAGCCGGGCUGACAAGUCAGAUGUGAAAUCCGGGGGCUCAACCGCGGAACUGCAUUUGAAACUGUCAGUCUUGAGUACCGGAGAGGUCAUCGGAAUUCCUUGUGUAGCGGUGAAAUGCGUAGAUAUAAGGAAGAACACCAGUGGCGAAGGCGGAUGACUGGACGGCAACUGACGGUGAGGCGCGAAAGCGUGGGGAGCAAACAGGAUUAGAUACCCGGGUAGC